rnacentral:sRNA from 1 species
GAUACAAGUGUCAAAAGAUUAAAAAUUCGAUGCAAGCUUGCCUGCAAAAGAAUUUUUAUCUUUUGACACGCAAAAAAAUAUGAGUAAGUAGCCAUUUUUUGAAAAAAAUGAGCGGAUUACGAAUAUUUUUAAGGAUCCUGAGAAGCGAAGCUGUAGCAAUCCUGUA